UAAAAAGGAAGGCUGCCGAAGGAAACGUUUAGACACCAUUCGUCUAGCGAUCUACUGACGUUUCAAGCCAAAUAGAAGAAAAUAGUAGCAGCAACAUUAUUCCUUAGGUUUGAGUAUAAUCUAUUGACAAUGAAGAACGUUCUUCUUACAACGUUGGCCGUUUUUUUAAUCACUGUAACACUGGUCGGACAGGUUCAGUGUGUUCUCAGAGCUGGAAGAGACAACAUAAUGAUUCCUAGAAAAGGUGUUCGUGAAGAACUCGAAAUAAUGCAUAACCAAGCGAAGCCGGUUUACGCCAAAAAAUCAGGUUAUAGACGUGCAAGACCUUUGGGCAAUGAAAAUGAAGAAAUUAUGAAUUGACAAAGAUGGAAUGUGCAGCUCGUUGCUCUCGACUCUUAUAGGUAGAAAGCGACAAUUGGAACGAAAAAAUGCCAGCUAUUUUAAACAAACUCAGUUAUAUCCUUUGCGAGGCGUGUUUUAAAAGCAUUAAGCCUUUACUCAUUGUGAUGAUUGCUCUUUCUUUUGUAAAAUUCUGCCAUUAGAUCAUAUAUUCUAAUAAACUUGAAUCACUA